rnacentral:lncRNA from 1 species
ACAAGAUAUUUAAUAAGGUCAGCAGCCAUGGUGAUGGGCAAGGCAUUUAUUUGAGAGGCAGGUAGGUUGUUGAUUUUGCCUUUACUUGGACUUAUCCUUCAUUUACACAGUGUAGUGAAAGGAACUCUGACUAGAGGUUAAGCAGCAGUGGACUUGCAUAUUUAAUAACAAUGUACGAUUAUGGAAAUAAGAGAAAAUGCAGACAUCAAGUGUCAUGCUAGUCACCUGUCAUUUCCCUGAGGCAUACAACUGAGGUGUCCUUGAUUAGUGCAUGAAGCCACAGCAUCCUAAACUUAACACGUGGUCCUGGUUAAAUGGAAGGCUUAAGGAACUCGAAAGGGUCCCCAUUUCACUGAGGCAUCUCGGCGCUGUGAUGUCAGUUGUUGAAAUUAGGUUGAGAACAUUGCAUAGGGGGUCAUCAAGAUCUUCUGGAAAAAAAGUUGCUGGAUUUCAAUGCAUAGAAUUAUGUAUUUUAUUUUGACUUCUCAAACACUUGUAUCUUCCACCACUUAUCUUCCAAUUAUUUCCCUAUCAAGGUUGCCAUUUACAUGAUAUUUAAAUGAGUGAGGCUUGGCAGUACUCAGAAGUCAAUGGACUUUCAGGUGUCAGGAAAGUUCUCUACCUCAAAAGACUCAAAUCCAUAGCAGCUCUGCCUUU